GAUGAACGCUAGCGGCAGGCUUAAUACAUGCAAGUCGAACGGUAAGUUUGGUAGCAAUAUCAAACCAAGAGUGACGUACGGGUGCGUAACACGUAUGCAACCUACCUUGUACAGGAGUAUAGCUCGGGGGAAACUCGAAUUAACCCUCCAUGAGAUCAUAGAAUGGCAUCAUUUAGUGAUUAAAACUCAGGUGGUACAAGAUGGGCAUGCGUCUGAUUAGAGUUGGCGGGGUAAUGGCCCACCAAGACGAUGAUCAGUAGGGGACCUGAGAGGGUGACUCCCCCA
rnacentral:rRNA from 1 species